GGCCAGGGAUGGGAAACGAACCCACAAUGUUCCGCUUACCGGGCAGAUGCCAUGUCCACUAGGCUACCCUGGA